rnacentral:rRNA from 1 species
UCCAGACUCCUACGGGAGGCAGCAGUGGGGGAUAUUGCACAAUGGGGGAAACCCUGAUGCAGCGACGCCGCGUGGGUGAAGAAGCGCCUCGGCGCGUAAAGCCCUUUCAGCAGGGAAGAAAGAAAUGACGGUACCUGACUAAGAAGCCCCGGCUAACUACGUGCCAGCAGCCGCGGUAAUACGUAGGGGGCAAGCGUUAUCCGGAUUUACUGGGUGUAAAGGGAGCGUAGACGGCAGCGCAAGUCUGAAGUGAAAUGCCGGGGCUUAACCCCGGAACUGCUUUGGAAACUGAGCAGCUAGAGUGCAGGAGAGGUAAGUGGAAUUCCUAGUGUAGCGGUGAAAUGCGUAGAUAUUAGGAGGAACACCAGUGGCGAAGGCGGCUUACUGGACGGUAACUGACGUUGAGGCUCGAAAGCGUGGGGAGCAAACAGGAUUAGAUACCCGCGUAGAG